rnacentral:rRNA from 1 species
GACGAACGCUGGCGGCGUGCUUAACACAUGCAAGUCGAACGGAAGGGCCCUGCUUUUGUGGGAUGCUCGAGUGGCGAACGGGUGAGUAACACGUGAGUAACCUGCCCUUGACUUUGGGAUAACUUCAGGAAACUGGGGCUAAUACCGGAUAGGAGCUCCUGCUGCAUGGUGGGGGUUGGAAAGUUUCGGCGGUUGGGGAUGGACUCGCGGCUUAUCAGCUUGUUGGUGGGGUAGUGGCUUACCAAGGCUUUGACGGGUAGCCGGCCUGAGAGGGUGACCGGCCACAUUGGGACUGAGAUACGGCCCAGACUCCUACGGGAGGCAGCAGUGGGGAAUAUUGCACAAUGGGCGGAAGCCUGAUGCAGCAACGCCGCGUGCGGGAUGACGGCCUUCGGGUUGUAAACCGCUUUCGCCUGUGACGAAGCGUGAGUGACGGUAAUGGGUAAAGAAGCACCGGCUAACUACGUG